AUUAUUUCAGUAAAUUCACUCAAUUUUUGUUUUCCAGGCACCCAUGUAAAACUUCGUUAAAAAUUCUGCUUCAACAUGAAAUUGAAUCCUAUUUGUCAAAGGAACAAAGAGGUGACGUUGGGUUUGUGAAUGUUAUGUGUACACAUAACAUUCUAGUCAUGUACUUGUGCAUGACAUACGCACAUGUCAUUGUAGAUCUACAGUGUAGACCACGUAUGUGUAAGAACAGAUGAGAGUAUAGCUGUCGAGUCUAGCAAAAAACAUGAUUAAGUCAUUGCAGCUUAGGUGAAAACUCAGUGGAUCAUAAAGGCACAUACAUUCAUUAGUUUUAAGACAAUGAAACUACGUGCUUUUUGGUAUCUUCCCAGGCAAAACCAAGAGUCAAAUAUUAUUUCUGCUUGACCAGACUAUAAAAAGCCACAGUGCACAAGCCUGCGGUGUUACAGGCACUUCCCAGCACUUUGGACUGCAGCUGACUAUGAAGAAGUUGGUCUCUGUCAGGUGACUUGAUAUUUACCUGUGUGACAAGUAGUCACACGCUGUCAGAAUAUCAAAUACAUUCUACUGGCCUAGAGAAACAUUUCUGAAGUUGACUGAUGUGGCAUGAAGACCAUGAAUGAAAUCUUUCUUGUAUUUCUCAAAGGCUUGCAUCAGUUUGUCUCUUUUCUGCUGAUCAUUAUCUGUACAAAUACAAAUGUAAACACAACUCUUUCAAGUUAAAUCAAUGUUCAAGUCACAUAUUAUUACUCUUUGCUCUUCUUCUUCCCACUGAAGACUGUUCUGUCUCCUCCCCUUGAUGCCAGGUAGUAUACAAAGCAGACAACCACUCCUCUUUAUGGUUGGUUUUUGAUGCUUCAGAAGCACACAUCCGUAUUUGAAAUAAAUGCAACCCAGGGCUUCAUUAUGUCACCCACAUGGUAAGUAACAAAUUGUGGAGGCAUAACAGGGCACAAUGUUUUGUUCCAAUCUCCUGCCCACUCUUUUUUCCCUGUCCUAGAGAAGAGCUGAUGCAAGUCAAAGUAGAAGAAAAGAUGAUGCAAUUAAGUUUCGGAGAUUCAAGCCUGACUGACCAAAGGCUGCCACUGUGGUCUGUGCAGACUUUACUUUUAAGAUAGUGUGAUUUCUGUGUUAGUCAAACAACAAAAAAAAUCCGGAACAGACCUUUGGAUCUUUGAUUCUUACAAGAAUUCUUGCAAGAACACUUAGAAUAAGCAUUACUAUAGAGUCAUAGAAUCGCGGAAUGUUCCAAGUUGGAAGAGGAAAGGAUCAUGGAAUAGGGUCCAACUCCUGCCUCCACACAGCAGCACGCAACACUCCAACCCUGUGUCUGAGAGUGUUGUCUAAGCACUUCCUGAACUCUGGCAGCUCUGGGCCGUGCCCACUGUCUUGAGCAGCCUGUUCCAUGCCCGCUGCCCUCUGGUGUAGAACCUUUCCCUAACCCCCUUGCCAUUCCCUUGGGUCCCACUGCUGUUACCAGGGAACAGAGCUCAGUACCUGCAUCUCCACUCCCCUCUUGAGGACUGCUGCAUCAUGACCACUUCCAACACCAGUUGUGCUUCCUUUUCAAGCCUCUUCUCUCCUGUAUGUGUCUUCCUAAAAUGACCUUGGUCUAUGCUAACCAGGCAUGCUCUCCAGACACGUGAACAAAAGGACUAGGAGUGGAAGAUGUUCUCAGUUUUUCAGGUUUGCAGACACCUGCACCACUACCAAGUGACCUGGGUUUUCUUCUUGCAGCUGACUGGAGAACUAAGUGCUUGCUGUGCAACACAGAUUGCAUAUUUGGAAAACAAGUCUAUAUCUACAUGACUGUAUGGAUUGAACAGAGAUAACUGCAAUAUAUGGAGAAAAACUAUUUUUGACUGUGAAGGAAGAAGUAAUCACUCAGAAGCACAAUACUCCAGUUGCAUUUGAAGGACACUGACUCCAUUUUCAUCCAAAACACUUCAGUGAUUACUGCUACAUGUCACAGCAAAUCAGAGCUUGUACAAGUGCGCCAAACAAUGUUUCAGACAUGCAGGACUAGCUACUGAUUGGAGUGAGGCCAAAUAGACUGUAUUCAAAAAGCAGCUCUACUUUAAAAAAAAAAAAAAAGUGAAUAUUUAAAAGGGCACUGGAGAAGGCCUCUAAGCAACCCUGACUGCUAUCAUCUGCUACAAGGAUAUGGAGCAAGUGACAACUCAGCACUUCACCACAAGGUUUGUACAGGCCUU